GGGCAUGUGGCGUAGUUNCGCCCCCUUAGCAUGGGGGAGGUCUUCGGUUCGAAUCCGGACUUGUCCA
rnacentral:tRNA from 1 species